rnacentral:lncRNA from 1 species
UGUUAAUCAUGGUCAAAGGUGUGUAUGUGCUGCAAAAGAUGGUAUAGUUCAGGAAUGUGAUGAAAAUAAGGUCUUUCAGUUUUUAAUGGGUCUCAAUGAAGCUUAUAUGGGGGUCAGGAGUAAUCUUUUGAUGAUGCAGCCUCCUCCUUCUCUUGACAAUGUAUAUAAUAUUGUCCUCAAUGAUGAGAAACACAGGCAAGUUCAGUCUUCUUCUCACUUUGAUCCAGACUCUGUCUUUUUCAAUGUACAUACAAACAGACAGCCUAUUGGAUUUAACAAGCCACAGUGUCUGUUCCUUCUCCUCCUUUCAGACAGAGAGUCAAUUUUGAUCAAACCAGAGGACCAUUAUUCUGUCGAUACUGUAAAAAAUCUGGACACUUAAUUGAUAAGUGCUUCAAGAUCCAUGGGUAUCCACAAAGUACCAAUUUUAACAAGGGAAGGACACAUGCUGCUGCUCAUAUGAGUACUGGUCUGGAUCCUCCUAUUUCUGAUGAGCUGUUGUCUGUUCCUCAAGGGAAUCCUCCUGCUAGCCAUCACUCUCUUGCAAGAAUAGAUGGCCAGACCUCUGUGAUACCAGGGUUGAGCAGACAAGAUUAUGACCAGUAUCAAUCUGUUGCAAGAAUAGAUGGCCAGACCUAUGUGAUACCAAGGUUGAGCAGACAAGAUUAUGACCAGUUGAUGAACAUGUUACACCAGACCAAGUUAGGGGAUUCUACUGCUCAAACUCGGCCGCCCAUAUAUGCUGCAAACUUUGCUGGUACUAUGUUGACUGAGAACCCUUUUUCUGAUUCCAAACUUUGCUUACUUACUCAUAUUAAUUCUGUCACCUCGAUUAUAGAUUCAGGUGCCUCUAAUCACAUGACUCAUGAUAAACAAUUACUUUUUAACAUCACACCUUUAACUCUGCCAUAUCUUGUCACUCUUCCUAAUGGCUACAAAGUAAAAGUCACUUGCACAGGCUCUUUUGCAUUGACUUCCUCCAUCACUCUUCAGAAUGUACUGGUAGUUCCUUCCUUUAAACACAACUUGAUUUCUGUUCACAAGUUAGUGAAGCAGUUGCAUUGCAUAUUUAUGUUCACUGAGCAUUCCUGCUUACUACACAUGAUACAGGACCCUUCUUUGAGGAGGCCACUGGAUCUUGGUAGAGAAGCUGCUGGGCUGUAUAAACUAAAUUGGGUUCCCUCUUCCCCUUCUUCCUCUGUUAAUUGUUCCUCUACUUCUGUUUGUCCUGUAUCUGNN